rnacentral:tmRNA from 1 species
GGGGGCGACAUGGCUUCGACGUGGGUCGCGAAACUCUGGGUGCAUGCCGAGGAACAGAUCACCUCGUAAAUCCAGCUGUAACACUUAUAGUUGCCAACGACGACAACUACGCAUUAGCUGCUUAAAAACCAGUUGAAUGCCCUCUGACCGGAUGUGCCUGUGCGU